rnacentral:sRNA from 1 species
UUUGAAACCGAAAGAUGGAAAUAUAGAAGAAGUUAAUAGUUUAAGAAAGCAAAGAGCAGGUUCUUCAUCUUCAAAAAUGAACAGUUUGGAUGUUUUGAAUAAUUUGGGAUCUUGUGAACUGGAUGAAGAUGAUCUAAUGCUUGAUCUUGAAUUUUUAGAGGAACAGAGUCUUCACCCUUCUGAACUACUGCAGGAACAUACCAGGAAAGCCAAGAGAAUCCACAGACCUUUGAAGGAAUUGGAUCACCACCACAGGCUCCCUGAGACGGCAAAAAACUUUUGCCGGGAGGACUCAUAUCACUCUGUCGUCUCAUGUGCCGCAGUAGUUCUUACUCCUAUGGAACCAACGAUAGAAAUGAAGAAAAGAGAAGAACCAGAAUUUCCUGAGCCUUCCAAACAGUGAGUUGUUCAUUUAAUUUUUCAAGGCCUUGUAAAAUCAAUUAGAUAACUGAUAAGAAAAUGUGAUUUAUAAUAAAUGUGUUAAUAUUAGUAU